GCGCUGGUGAAAUCGGCGCGAGUAUCAUUAGAAUAGUUUGUUUUCCAGUGAUAGACAUGGCUAGUUAGCUUGUAGCGGCUAUCGCCGUAGCGUUAGCCCCGCAGGUAAACACUCAGCUUGACAGGGGGAGAGGACGACGUACAGCCGUGGCGUUUUCAGAAAACCCGUUUGCUAUAAGUGGCUGUCAGCCCGGGAUUACACGGUUAACGCCAAGUUAAUACGAUGAGCUUAGGUUAUCCGCACUGUCAACACCGUGGUGGAAUUAGCUCGACACAGGCAAUGUCGGUAGUAUGCGUUUAGAUUAUGAGUAACGUUUCUCAGCGACGAAUUUCUACACUACAACAAACACAGGUGAGCUGGGCGUUAGCUGUUUGCACGGCUAGUGGGGCUGUAAGCUAUUGUUAAAGGCAAAAGAAAGUUGUCUGUUUAGUAUCAGCACGGUUGAAUAACAACACAAUUAGGAGCUGCAGUAACUCAACAAAUGUUUUCUCUGUAGUUAGCAACCGUUCGCGUUGGCAGCAAGCAUACCAAGCAGUGACAGUUAAUUGUCAAACUGACACUGUGUGUUGUGGCAUUUCCUUCUCAUUUAACUUAAACUUCAGGGAAAGUCUGAGACGUUUAUACACAGCUGUCUAGUCGCCAGGCUGUCACUCAGAAUAGCUCCCUUCUCUUGUCAGACACAAACAACUGGCCCAACAUAGGCCUGCCUUGAAAUAUUAAUAGGGUGUCUUGAGUCCAUUGUAGCUGGACAGUGGUUGUAGGUAUUAGCCUCGGCUUUGUGAUCAUUCGUGACAAGCCGUUUCUUAAGGGUGACUUGGCGAUGACAUUGUAGUUUUGCUACAGAUCCCACGUGAUGCAGUUUCUCAAUGCACGCUGGUUCCUUGACUUUAAAUAGAUAGACUCCUUGCCGUGACAUUUGCUGACAAGAAGACAGACUGCAGGGUCCACCUCACCUGAGCGGCAGGUGACCUGACCACAUCUCGGCACCUCUCCAGUAGUUUUAAGUGCAAGUUUAGCCUUGGUAAUGAGGCUUCAGCUGCCACUGCACUAUUCUGCCUGUCUGACAGGGAGUACCGAUUUCUGUGUUAAGUGCAGUCAGGUGUUAAACUUCAGCUUGACAGUAGCUCUUUGUAAUGUUGCUCUCUGCUAACCUUUAGUCUGAAGUGAGUGAUGGGCUUGUGUUGGGCUACGCUGUGUUGAGUUGUUGAGUUUACAUAAGGUGAUGUCAACAACUGACUUCCAGCUUUAAAACAUAUGGGGCCCUUUCAGUCAACGCCCGUCGUCGUCAUCAUCAUCAUCAUCAUCAUCAUCAUCCAAGAUCUUACACAAGAGCACUGCUGACUCUCUGCUAAGAAGCCAAGCCUCCACAGCCUCAUCGCCUCAUCACACAGCCCUACUGAUAGCCUCCACAUUCACUGCUGCUGCUCGCUGGCACCAUUGACGUCAGACCAGACUUACAUUACCCAUUUGAACUACAUUCAAAUACUUUCUCAGGGAAUGAUUGCAUUGAGCACGAAGGACUUGGACAGGAGUUCCAAAUGUUAUCCCUCUACAUUUGCAUUUGCACUUUAAUGCACAUAUCUUAAAAAAUAAGAAACUGACUGUCUAAAUAAAAGCAGUUUUUGAGCUGCAGUAUUCAUUAAAAAUGAUAUAGGAAUUUGCCUAUUAACCUAGGACUUAAACUACUCCGGCCCUUGUAUUUACAACAGUACUUGGAGGAAACGCUGCCUACAGUUAGCUCUGUCAAGCACAAACCUGGCCCACAUGCACUGAAUCAGGCUUGACGUAAUUCAAAAUGUCAAAAUAAUUUAGCCAGCUCUGACUGAUGUGUCUGACAGUGUGCUCUUGGGUCUGGCUUACAAAGGUCUGUGUUGUCAGCUAGAGAGGUUUAGUGAGUUGCUGCUGCUUCAGGUUCAUCCGGACAGACUGUGUUAUCACAUUGUUAUCUUGUGUGUAUAUAAUACAGUCGCCUGUUAGCACAUAGCUUAGGCUUGGUGGUAAUAAAUGUGUCACUAAUGACUGCAGUGGGCUGCUGAAAGCUUCUGAACAAUGCCAACAGUGGAGUAACUGCCUUCUCUGUGAUUACUGUGUGGGUGAAAGAUAAACAGUGUAGAUGUGUUUCUAAAGGUCAAGCUGUUCAUUGAAGUUUGCAUCAAAGUCAGUACCUAGAGUUUAAUUAGUUUUUCUUGUAAAUGGUGACAACAUCAUAGCUUAUGACUGUGUCCUGUAUUGUAGUUGCUUUAGAAGUGUCAGGACAUUACCAUUCAUUUAUGAUAGUCAAAGUUUGUGGCAGGGAGUAAACUGUCUUGUGAGUAGCAGUCCUUUGUAUCUCUACCAGUCCUAGCUCUGCUGCAAUAGUAAGCAUCUUCUUUGGCUAGACUCAGUUCUCUUCCUAUAGUCCUAACCCUGCUAUUAGUGACUUUGUUCGAGCCAGUUAUGACUUGAAAAAGAGGGGGUAGUCCAGCCAGUUUGGACACAUUCUGCAGCCCAUACACCAGUUUGUGCACUCAAGAGAUCUUGGCAUUGUAGUGUAGAGAAAUAUUUCAGACAGAGAAUGCUAUGAAAUCAUCACAGAGCGAUGAAAGCAAAUACUAAUGGUGCUUACUUUCAUCCAAAAUAAUAAGCUUGUGAGAAUGAAAUGGUUUCUACUGUAAAGAAAAAAAUGUGUGCUCCCUUACUAUGCUGUCAGGCCAGAUGAUUCAACAAAAAAGAAAAACGCUUCAGUCUGCAGCACCUUACGUAACUAAUACAAUUAAAUACAUCAGCCAUGGAUCAAAAUACGGUAGGGUGCAGGGGAGAGAGCUGAUUAUUCACCACAUGUAAUACAAGGGUUGUAGAGUCAUCAUGUUGUUGCAGCUGAUGUGAACAUGUUCUAAUAUUUCCUGCCCCUGAUUUCUCCUGUAACCAGGUUUGUAAAUGAAGUGACUAUCUCUGUCUUAUACUCCAAGGUGUGCUCGUUGUUCUAAUAGCGCAAUGACCCAUAUGUUUAAAACCAGUUCUGCUGUCUUGUCUCGGCCUACACUCUGACAGAUCUUAGCCUGUCUAGUAGGCUGUAGGUUUACAGUGAGCAAAUAAAGUCAGGGUCAGUAGGUCCUGCUGACAGCCAUCAGCAUCGGGUUUUCAUUUUCCCAGAGUGCCGUGUGGUUCUCGGCUGGUGUGUUAAUCAGGGGGUAUCACAAGCUGAUCUGCAUGAUCUGAACCGGAGCCAGUCAAGUCAUUUUUUUUAAUUGACUGUUAUCAGCUUUAUGAAGCCUGAUCAGAUUCAGAUCCUUUGUUUGUUGUAACCCAUCAUGCUGUGGGUACACCAUGGAGCAGCACAAACAAUAGUGGGCAGUUUGAAUAGAGAUAUCCACACUGACAGGGACUGUCAACAAGCAAAGCUAGCUGAGCAACAUCUAAUAUGAGACUACAGCAGCUAUUGUCAAAAACAUGUAUAUUAAUGCAGAUACUGUAUGGAUUUAGUAGGCUGAGUGCAAUAUGUGGACAAUAUCAGACUUUUCUUUGUAAUAUAUUUCUUACAGUAAGUUUAGUUUAUUACAGAGUUUAGAACAAUGACUUUCCUUUGCAUUUAAAUUGAAGUAUUGAAUGUUCAUCCUACUUUAGAGGUAGAAUACUACAUGUGUAUUAAUUUUCAUAACCUGAUUCACCCCUCCUGUAGAGAUGUCUAGAUGCAAUGCUGUAGCAUGUUCAGCCUGCCCACUGCUAUACACUGGGCACUUGGUAUCCCAGUCACUAAUCUUUUUGGUGCUGAUACUUGUUAUCAGGGACUGGAAACAAAAGAAAACUUCAUCAGGACAUCCUAGUCAUGAGGCAUGCUUGUGCAUUUUGGCAGCAGCACAGCCUUAAAAUUUUUGUUGAACAAAAACUGUUGUACUGAGCGGAAUGUAGUUCCUAUAUCUGAUCAUACAUUAAUCAUUAAAUUAAUUCAAUUAGUGAUUAAAUUCUUAA